UGGAGUAAAAGAUAACACCCUCCUCCUCAGCAUAAAUUCCCAACUUCUCUGUAAUAUUUUGCAGCUUCACUUCAGCAUCAAAACUACAAAGACAAUCUAUAGCAGUAUUCUUAUUACUUCUAUGGGGAAUGUAGGAGAAGAAGGAAAAGUGUCAUUAAAAUUCGGGAAAUGCAUAGUGAUAAGGAGAAAGGAAGGUGAGAAUGGUGCUACGAGCAAAAAUAAUAUUUAAAACUAAAAUUACUUAAUUAAGGAGAAAGAAGCAAAAGAAAAUUGAGAAAUUGCUUGAUCAGAACACAAUAUAUAGCUUCUUCUACCCCAAUGACACUUCUCUUCAUAAUACUUAGCUUCUUCCAAUUCCUAGCAAAUGGCACGAAGAGAAGUUAUCAUAUAAACACAAUAAUAUCGUCAAACAGACGCUGACAAGAAAAAAAAACCUGCAUUAUUGAAAUUUUUUGUAGGUGUAGAAGGAAUGCCAUUAGCACAAUAUAAAGCAAUUCUCUCAUCAAUUCAGCAAUAUAAUUCUGCCCAGUCUUUGAUUACUAAAGUUGGCGUGGCUUUUAGUAACUAAAUAACCAAGAUUAAGAUGUAUCGUGAAAGAAUUUUUUUAGUGUUAUCUAAUAGGUGCCCUAUUUCAAUCUUUAUGUCAAAAACUAUUUUCAUGUACUACAAAUUAUCUCUCCUUUACAACAAAAGGAAUCAUUAAUUACAUAGACAAAAGAUAAUAAACUUUGAAUAGAAGCUUCAUUCAUCUGACAAGUUAUACGAUUUCCUAGCAUUUUUUUGAGUCAAAUAAAGAAAAAGAACUAAUACAUUAUAUUUCCAAGCCUCAAUUUGACAGGUCUUAGCUGUUUCUUGAAUUCAAGUAAAAGCUAGUGAAAACUAUUUCAAGCUUUAUAUUCAUAUUAUUCUUUAUUUUAACAUGUGACCUUUUACCUAUAACAAUUUCAUCGAAAUUGUCUCCAUCCAUGUAAUUCAUUAAAUUUUACAAAGGUAAACUGAAAUCUCUAGAGUUCUUGUUCAAUUCUUGAAACAAUAAAAAAAUUUAAGAAAAAAUGAUUUGUUUAUGUGGAUAUAUCUUUGACAGAUUUUAUAACAUAAUUUUUCCUUUGUGCAUUAAUUAUAAGUAUAUAAGUAUAUUUAUUUCUAUUAUAAGAGACUCAAAUUUAAUACUUUGCAAUUUUGUUCUUACUUAAAGAAUGUAAAAAAAAAUUAUAUACAAAGAGAUAUGAAGCCAUAAUUGCACCAACCAAAGGUCACUCUUUUAUUGAACUCAGAUAAAAUCGCAAAACCUGGAAAGAGAAUAUCCCCAAAGCCAAUCAAGCCAUAGCCAUAAUAAGGAUUAGAAGAUUAGAUAGUUGAGAACUCUUAGAAGCUACAAAAAAUUUAAAAAAAGAACUGAGUCAUAUUUCAUCCCAUACAGUUUAAAGAAAAACAUAUAUAGUAAAACUAUUUAAGAAAUAAAAGUUUAUCGCAAAGAACAAACAGAAGGGAACAUAAACAAAAUCCCAGAAUAUUGGAUACCAAUACAAGGAAUACCAACCAAAAAAUCUCAAAAAUAAGGAAGAGAUAAUCAAAUCACAAAAUCAGAGAGAGGCGAUUUACCUCUGGCAGUAAUAGAAAUAAGAGAAACAGAAACUGAAGGGAAAAAUUAAAAUACUGAAGAGCAAAGGAAGAAUUUUACCUUGGGCGAGGGGAGGAAGAAGAGGAGAAGAAGAAGACCCUGUAAGGGAAGAGAAGAUUUGCGAUAAGGAUUAAGAGAAGAGCCAUUUAAGAGCAGUAAAAGAAGCAAUCGUUUCUUUUAUAGGGAAAAUAAGCGACUGUUAAGUUUUCUUUAUUGAAAAACUUUUUUUCAUCAGUUUUAAAA
rnacentral:lncRNA from 1 species